rnacentral:misc_RNA from 1 species
ACACGCCACAUAUCUAGUUGUCACAUUUGCACACACGCGCAUACCAGUGUGUCUUUAGUUGUUGUUUUUUUUUUUCCAAUUUCGAGCGAAGCAAUUUAACAAAAUUCGUGCGCAGCAACAAGGAACACACAAAAACUCGGAUCCACUUUUCGCCAGCGUGGGCAAAGCGAAAAAAGAGGAGCGAAAAAAAGCACGCUGCCAAGCGUACGCCAUGGCCGAGUAUUGGCAGCAACAGCAACAGCAGCAGCAGCAGCAGCUGGUAACGAACGGUGCUGACGCAGCGCCUGCUGCAGACGGCUCAGCCACAGCGAAUGGGCACAACAACAACAAUAACUAUGUGAAUUUCAAUCAAUUUAUCACACAACACAACCUGGCCAGCUCCAGUCUGGGCUACAGCAUUGGCGGUGGCGGCGGCGCCUUUGGCCUGACGCCCAGCGUUAGCGCCAGCAGCAAUUUUGUCGGUGGCGGCGGCGGCGGCGGCGACAAUUUGUAUGCGCCAACGUUUUAUGCCUCUCAAAAUGGCGAUGGCGCCGCAAGUGGCAACAGUUAUAAUGCAGCCGGAGCCGCAGCCGCUGCUUAUCCCAAUCUUUAUACACCCUUUGGAAAUAAUCCGUUUGCUGCCGCUGGCGUUGGCUACGAUUUCAGCACUUCCAAGCUGCAGGCCACAGCGCCCGAAUUUGUGCCCAAUUUUGCCAAACUCAGUCUGACGUCGCCGUCAGCGUCGGCGUCUAGCAAAAAUCAUAACAACAACAACAACACUGCCACACAGCCAAAUGCAGCAGCAGCAGGCAGCAAUUCAUCACAGCACUCGCAGCCGCAGCCGCAGCUGCUGUCACAAAGAGCCGACCAGAGGCAGCCGAAGCCGCAUGGCAGCGGCAACAAUAGUCGCCAACAGCGACGCAACGACUACCGCGAGGAUCGCAAUGAGGAGCGCUAUGAGCGCGGCAAGAAACCGCAGAAGCAACAGCGCUACGACAAUCAUCGCAGCAAUAAGCGACGCGACGAUUGGAAUCGCAAUCGGGAUCGCAUCAAUGGCUAUCCACGCGCCACCGAGGAGCUGGACACAAGCAACAGCAAUGACAGCGCACAGCCCUCGCCAGAGAAGCAGCCGUCGCAACAGCAGCUGCACCAGCAGCAACAAAUCUCACCGAGACGUGCGCCCGAUCAUGAAAAGCUGUCGCAGCGUGAAAAGCUAAUGCGCGACAUUGAGCAGCGGCGUCUGGAGUGCCUGGUCUGUGUGGAGUUGAUUAAGGCGCAUCAUGGCACCUGGUCGUGCCAGAAUUGUUAUCAUGUGCUGCACCUCAAGUGCACCAUCACCUGGGCCAGCAGCUCGAAAUCCGCCGAGGGCUGGCGUUGCCCCGCCUGCCAGAAUGUGCUGGAGGAGCUGCCGCGCGAAUAUCUGUGCUUCUGUGGCAAACUCAAGAAUCCACCGUUGACGCGCACCGAACUAGCCCACAGCUGCGGUGAGCUGUGCUGCCGUGUCGAGGGCUGCAGCCAUGCGUGCACGCUGCUCUGCCAUCCCGGUCCGUGUCCGCCAUGCCAGGCGAAUGUCAGUCGCAGCUGCGGCUGCGGACGCACCUCCAAGCUGAUGCAGUGCGCCAUGAAGCAGCCGCUGCAGUGUGAGGCCAUUUGCGACAAGCUGCUCAACUGCGGCGAGCAUCGUUGCCAGCAGCCGUGCCAUGCGGGCAAGUGUGAGGCGUGCGCGGAGCAAGUGCAGCAGCAUUGCCAUUGCGGCAAGCAGCAGCGCGAGGUGCAGUGCACCCGCGAGAGCCAGGAUAAGCGCAGCUAUUCGUGCAAAGAGUGCUGCAGCAAGCCGCUGCCCUGCGGCAAUCAUAAAUGCAAGGAUUCAUGCCACGCCGGCGCUUGUCGUCCCUGCAAGCUGAGUCCCACACAAAUCACCAGCUGCCCAUGCGGCAAACUGCCGGUGCCGGCAACGCAGCGCGCCAGUUGCCUGGAUCCGGUGCCCACCUGCGAGGGCGUCUGCGGCAAAACGCUGCGGUGCGGCAAACCCGCGCAUCCGCAUCAAUGCGCCAGCAAAUGCCACCUGGGCCAGUGCCCGCCGUGCCCCAAGCAAACGGCGGUCAAGUGCCGUUGCGGCCACAUGGAUCAGAUGAUCAAAUGCCGCCAAUUGUCUACCCGUGCGGACGAUGCGCGCUGCAAGCGACGCUGCACCAAGAAGCGCAGCUGUGGCAAGCACAAGUGCAAUGCCGAGUGCUGCAUCGAUAUCGAUCACGCCUGCCCGUUGCCCUGCAAUCGCACGCUCAGCUGUGGCCGGCAUAAAUGCGAUCAGCCCUGUCAUCGUGGCAAUUGCCCGCCCUGCUAUCGCAGCAGCUUCGAGGAGCUGUACUGUGAGUGCGGCGCCGAGGUCAUCUAUCCGCCGGUGCCAUGCGGCACCAAGAAGCCCAUCUGCAAGCGACCCUGUUCGCGGACGCACGGCUGCGAGCAUCCACCACAGCAUAAUUGCCAUGCGGCGGCUAGCUGCCCGCCCUGCAUGAUGUUCACCACCAAGUGGUGUCAUGGCAAUCACGAACAGCGCAAGACCAUACCCUGCUCCCAGGCCAGCUUUAGUUGUGGCCUAGCCUGCGGCAAGCCGCUCGCCUGCGGUCGCCACAAAUGCAUACGGCCCUGUCAUGAGGGCGAAUGCCAGCAGCCGGGCGAGCUGUGCCGCCAGAGCUGCACCAAGCCGCGUCUAUUGUGCGGCCACAAGUGCGCGGCCAUAUGCCAUGAGGGCGUCUGUCCUGAAACGCCCUGCAAGGAGCUGGUCGAGGUGCAGUGCGAGUGCGGCAAUCGUAAGCAAAGCCGCAGCUGCCAGGAGCUGGCACGGGAGCACAGUCGCAUUGCCACCGCACAGCUGGCCUCCUCCAUGGCGGAAAUGUCGCGCGGCAACUACAUGGAACUCAGCGAGAUACUGGCGCCCAACAAGAACAAUAAAUCCAACAAAACCUUGAACUGCAAUGAUGAGUGCCGUCUGUUGGAGCGUAAUCGUCGCUUGGCUAUUGGCUUGCAGUCGCGUAAUCCGGAGACGCAGCUCAAGUCGCUGACAAAGUACUCGGAAUUCUUGCGCGGCUUUGCCAAACGCAAUCCGGCGCUGACAAAGAGCGUCUAUGAAACCCUCACCGAUCUGGUCAAGCUGGCCAAGGAGAGCAAACAAAAGUCGAGAAGUCACUCGUUUCCCACCAUGAAUCGUGAGAAGCGUCAAUUGGUGCAUGAGCUAUGCGAAGUUUUUGGCGUGGAGUCUGUUUCCUACGACAAGGAGCCAAAUCGCAAUGUGGUUGCCACAGCGCACAAGGAGCGGUGCUGGCUCCCAGCCACUAGCAUCAUGGAGGUGCUGGCACGCGAAUCCGGGCAACGUCGCGUGCCCGUGCCCAGCAACAAUGCAUGGAGCCUCAAAAAGUAGCAGGCAACAAUUCAUUCGUUUAUCCUUGACAAUACACGAACACAUUUAGCAGAGUUUAUCAAAAGAGAGAGAGAGGGGCAGGGAGAUCUCUUUGUAAAUCUCUUAAAACUAGCCUGAACAUAAUUGAAAAAUUUCUAAAACGUUAGUUCAAAUAUUGUUGCAUGGACAAUGUUAAAGUAAAAGAAAGGUUGCAGGAUAUACCAAAUGAACAUAAAGGAAAAAGUGUGGAAAACAAUACUAAAACAAAAAAAACGGGCAAAAUUGGAAACUGUUAAUCAACUUUCAACUGUUUUAUGAUGAAUUUAUAUAAAGCUGAAUCCUUUGACUACGUUGCAAACAAUAAUAAACAAAAUAAGGAAGCGAUGUAAAAAAGGAAAUAUUUUAAAUGUGAGCUAAAGAAAACCUUGUGAAUACAAUGGAUUUCGACUGCAUUUUCUAUAAUUGCUUUACUUUGGAUGAAUUUUAAUUAAAUCCGUUUUGGACAGGAAAAUGUCGCCAAGCAGUCUACGAAGCUAAAGGAUUAUUGU